rnacentral:rRNA from 1 species
GCAAGUCGAACGAGAAAGCUUCCUUCGGGAAGCGAGUAGAGUGGCGCACGGGUGAGUAACGCGUAGGUAAUCUACCCUUAUAUUUGGGAUAACAUUGGGAAACUGGUGCUAAUACCGGAUACCCUUCUUUUCUGCCGGGUUAAGAAGGAAAGGUGGCCUCUUCAUGAAAGCUACCGUAUAGGGAUGAGCCUGCGUACCAUUAGCUAGUAGGUGGGGUAAUGGCCCACCUAGGCAACGAUGGUUAGCGGGUCUGAGAGGAUGAUC